rnacentral:rRNA from 1 species
AUGACGGAUGCAAGGAACAAAUUUGCACAACCGGAUGAAGACACCCCCUUUGGACGACACUUGAAGGAAGUCACUAGGUACCUGAACAUCGAAAUACCAAGCUUCACUGGAACCUACAACGCCACUUUACCAGAAGAGGAGCGUUGGAUGAUCCAAGUUCAAGUUCUAGGAAGGACGUUCAUGCCAGUCACCGAGCCCAUAGAGUUCUCCUUUGACGCACCCACCUGGAGUCUAGGCAAGAGCAUGGCCGCCCACAUCACCAUGGGACGCAUUGGAGAAGUUUACCAUAUGGAUCUCAAGGAUACUAUUUACCAGAUUUGUGGGUGCCGAGAUGAACAAUGGGAGAUGAUCAACACCAGGAAGGAUAGAUCUAUUGCCGCUUUCAUCUAG